rnacentral:rRNA from 1 species
AACGAACGCUGGCGGCAUGCCUAACACAUGCAAGUCGAACGAGACCUUCGGGUCUAGUGGCGCACGGGUGCGUAACGCGUGGGAACCUGCCCUUAGGUUCGGAAUAACUCCCCGAAAGGGGUGCUAAUACCGGAUAAUGUCUUCGGACCAAAGAUUUAUCGCCUUUGGAUGGGCCCGCGUUGGAUUAGCUAGUUGGUAGGGUAAAAGCCUACCAAGGCGACGAUCCAUAGCUGGUCUGAGAGGAUGAUCAGCCACACUGGGACUGAGACACGGCCCAGACUCCUACGGGAGGCAGCAGUGGGGAAUAUUGGACCAUGGGCGAAAGCAUGAUCCAGCAAUGCCGCGUGAGUGAUGAAGGCCUUAGGGUUGUAAAGCUCUUUUAACCGGGAUGAUAAUGACAGUACCGGGAGAAUAAGCGCCGGCUAACUCCGUG